rnacentral:ncRNA from 1 species
UCACAGUACGUUACAUUCUCCUUAAACCGAGACCUAUAGGGAAUUCAAACACGUCUCUCAUACCAACCCUGGAGGGUAGGGUUGGAAUACUAUACUCA